AUGCAGAGGAAAGUUCAACGUGCCUCCGGCGGGGCCUGCCCCAAUCCAGGCCGGGAUGAAAACAAUCCGGGGAGAAAGGGCAGCAGAGCCGCCGGUGGAAGGACCGGCUCCCACCGGAACCGGCGGCACCCGUGGCACAAGGACCGGCACCCGCCAGAGCCCACGGGGACGGGACAGUGUGUCCAGCCCAGAGCUGCGCCACUGCCACCCUCCCGCCCUCUUCCUAAAGAUCAUUUGGCUUUGGGAUGGUGUUCGGGAUUGGAUCAUCCCUGCCCUCGCACGGGGCAGGGCAGUGCAGGCGAGGGGCUCUGCAGCGGCCCUCGUGCCUCAGUUUCCCCAGGGGUUCGGAGCGCAGGCUCCGGGAAAGGCUCAGCCUUGGAUAAGCGGUGCCGGGAGCGGAGGCCGCUUGUCCUGCCGCCCCCACACCGCAGCCCGGCCUCUCCGCCGGCUGCUUCCUUCCGCCGGAGGGUUUCCCGGCUGCUGACUCAGCACGAGACCCCCGUGACCCCCCGUGGGGCCACCGGCAGGCGUCCGUCCCGCCGAGGCUGCCCCGUGGCCGCGCAGCGUUUGCCUUUGCGUCCCCCUCCUUGGCGGGUGAGCUCCUCAUCCCCUUCCCCUGGGAACCCCCACAUUCCCCACGGCCGGCGGUUUCAGCCCCCUUCCCAUGGAGACCCUCACGUUCCACCCAUUGUGGGCGUCUUCUGCUCCCCCCUCCCGCAGGGACCCUGCCCAGGUUUCCAGCCCCCACUGCUUGCUCCGGGGGUUUUUAUAGGUCCUACAGAAAGACCCCAAGAGGCUGUGGGGUCACUGGGGGGUGAUGCCCACCAUGUGCUGCCCUCGGUUUCCUCUCGGGGCGGUGGAUCCCCGACCCUGACCGUCCUGCACAGGCAGAGCCCGAUCGCAGUUCCCGGUGCUCUGGGUGGGCUUGGAACCGCGAUCCCAGUGGUGGAACUGGGCAGAACUGGUCCUUCCAGCAUAGAGGCCACACUGAGGGGCUGGGAUGAGGCUCAGCACCGGGACCUGGACCCUGGCCAGGCUCUAUCCGAAAACAUCAGCACGCCGGGCGCAUUUUUUCCAGGCUUACCUUUCCUGGGGAGCCGCAGGGACGGGCGGCUGGCACGGCUGGCACGGUGGCAAGGCUGGCUGAACCCCGUCUCCGCGGCGGCUCCCCUCGGCAAGGCGAGAGCCGGGGGUCCCUGCUGCCCUCCCAGAGCCUUCCGCCGCCCCGGCCGGGGCUCGGAGCCGUUCCCAGCGGAGCCCCUCGCGCCGGCGGACGCCGUCAGCACAUUUCCACCUCCUUUGCCAAGUAAAUACGCACCGGUUGGCACAGGGGGGCCGGUGGCAAUCGGGGGGGCCGGUGGCAAUCCCGGAGCUCCCGCCGAGGGUUCCCGAGGCAGCCGAGCCCCCCGGCCCGCGGCCCCUCAGCCCCUGCCCGCGGUCGGGUUAAUAACUAAUCCCUUCCCGGUCCUGCUCUCCUCACGUGCCAGAAUUAAUGGAGCGAGAACCUCCCAGGUACCCCCCGCGCCACCGGCUCGGGCUUUAACCCUGUCCCCCGGCAGGGAUCCGGCCUGGGAUGAGGUGACAUCCCCGGCGGGGUCUGUCCACCCGAGUGCGGGGGCAGGGUGGGUCCGUGAGUGGGUCAGCCCCACACCCUGGGGGCAAAGGCUGCGCCCCAUCCCCGCCCGGUGUGGGCACAGCCAGGGCUCGGGAGUGGGCAGGGGGUCUGGUGCGGUUUGGGGGUGUCUCUGUGCCCUGCCAGGAGCCAGCUGA
ensembl:lncRNA